rnacentral:misc_RNA from 1 species
GGCAAGGAGGUAAAAAUAAUAAAA